GGCUCAGGAUGAACGCUGGCGGCGUGCUUAACACAUGCAAGUCGAACGAAGCACUUUAUUUGAUUUCCUUCGGGACUGAUUAUUUUGUGACUGAGUGGCGGACGGGUGAGUAACGCGUGGGUAACCUGCCUUGUACAGGGGGAUAACAGUUGGAAACGGCUGCUAAUACCGCAUAAGCGCACAGUAUCGCAUGAUGCAGUGUGAAAAACUCCGGUGGUAUAAGAUGGACCCGCGUUGGAUUAGCUAGUUGGUGAGGUAACGGCCCACCAAGGCGACGAUCCAUAGCCGACCUGAGAGGGUGACCGGCCACAUUGGGACUGAGACACGGCCCAAACUCCUACGGGAGGCAGCAGUGGGGAAUAUUGCACAAUGGGCGAAAGCCUGAUGCAGCGACGCCGCGUGAGCGAAGAAGUAUUUCGGUAUGUAAAGCUCUAUCAGCAGGGAAGAUAAUGACGGUACCUGACUAAGAAGCACCGGCUAAAUACGUGCCAGCAGCCGCGGUAAUACGUAUGGUGCAAGCGUUAUCCGGAUUUACUGGGUGUAAAGGGAGCGCAGGCGGUGCGGCAAGUCUGAUGUGAAAGCCCGGGGCUCAACCCCGGUACUGCAUUGGAAACUGUCGUACUAGAGUGUCGGAGGGGUAAGCGGAAUUCCUAGUGUAGCGGUGAAAUGCGUAGAUAUUAGGAGGAACACCAGUGGCGAAGGCGGCUUACUGGACGAUAACUGACGCUGAGGCUCGAAAGCGUGGGGAGCAAACAGGAUUAGAUACCCUGGUAGUCCACGCCGUAAACGAGGA
rnacentral:rRNA from 1 species